GCGGUAUUGUGACCGUGCGAAGGUAGCAUAAUCAUUAGUCUUUUNAGUUAAAGGCUUGUAUGAAUGGUUGAACGANAAAUAGACUGUCUUNACUAAAUUGGUUGAACUUAACUUUUAAGUGAGAAGGCUUAAAUGAUCUANAGGGACGAUAAGACCCUAUAAAGUUUUACAUUAUAAUUAUUAUAAAACAGUUCGAGUGGGAAAAGUUUACUAAUAACCAGNAUGUUUUGUUGGGGUGACAAGAAUAUAAAUAAUGCAACUGUUCUUUANNAGGACCAAAUAUGUUUGUUUAGGUGAUCUUUAAUUUNAGGUGAUAGACUAAAUUACUUUAGGGNAUAACAGCNGUNAUUUUUUUUAAAGAGUUCUUAUCAACAAAAAAGUUUGCNNACCUCGAUGUUNANUUAAAGGNUUCU
rnacentral:rRNA from 1 species